rnacentral:rRNA from 1 species
AGAGUUUGAUCAUGGCUCAGUCUGAACGCUGGCGGCGUGGCUAAGACAUGCAAGUCGAACGGAUGCAGCAAUGCAUCAGUGGCGGACGGGUGAGUAAUGAAUCGCUAAUGUACCCUUAGGCCAGGGAUAGCCAUCCGAAAGGAUGGGUAAUACCUGAUGUUUUAACUCUUGGGCAUCCUUGAGUUCACAAAGCAGUAAUGCACCUUUGGAGCAGGCGAUUUCGUAUCAGGUAGUUGGUGAGGUAAUGGCUCACCAAGCCGACGACGCGUAGCCGGGCUGAGAGGUUGGCCGGCCACAUUGGGACUGAGACACUGCCCAGACUCCUACGGGGGGCUGCAGUAACGAAUCUUCCGCAAUGCACGAAAGUGUGACGGAGCGACGCCGCGUGUAGGACGAAGCCCUUCGGGGUGUAAACUACUGUCAGGGGAAAGAAAGUUCUGAUCUACCCCAGAGGAAGGGACGGCUAACUCUGUGCCAGCAGCCGCGGUAAGACAGAGGUCCCGAGCGUUAGACGGAAUCACUGGGCUUAAAGCGUGUGUAGGCGGAUUUGUAAGUACCUUGUGAAAUCCCACGGCUCAACCGUGGAACUGCUUGGUAUACUGCGAAUCUUGAGCCACUUAAGGGCAACCGGGAACAAAUGGUGGAGCGGUGAAAUGCGUAGAUAUCAUUUGGAACGCCAAUGGUGAAAACAGGUUGCUGGGAGUGUGCUGACGCUGAGACACGAAAGCCAGGGGAGCAAACGGGAUUAGAUACCCCAGUAGUCC